AACGAACGCUGGCGGCAUGCCUAACACAUGCAAGUCGAACGAGACCUUCGGGUCUAGUGGCGCACGGGUGCGUAACGCGUGGGAACCUGCCCUUAGGUUCGGAAUAACUCCCCGAAAGGGGUGCUAAUACCGGAUAAUGUCUUCGGACCAAAGAUUUAUCGUCCUUGGAUGGGCCCGCGUUGGAUUAGCUAGUUGGUAGGGUAAAAGCCUACCAAGGCGACGAUCCAUAGCUGGGCUGAGAGGAUGAGCAGCCACACUGGGACUGAGACACGGCCCAGACUCCUACGGGAGGCAGCAGUGGGGAAUAUUGGACAAUGGGCGAAAGCCUGAUCCAGCAAUGCCGCGUGAGUGAUGAAGGCCUUAGGGUUGUAAAGCUCUUUUACCCGGGAUGAUAAUGACAGUACCGGGAGAAUAAGCUCCGGCUAACUCCGUG
rnacentral:rRNA from 1 species